GUUUGAGUGAUGACUUCUAGUAAUUAGUCGGAUACCCCUUCACUCGUCGUAUGAGUGAAAACAACAGUCUGACAAAC